UCCCUCGUAGCUCAGUCGGUGAAGCAUCUGCCUGUAAUGUGGGAAAUCCAGGUUUGAUUCCUGGGUGGGGAA
rnacentral:tRNA from 1 species